rnacentral:rRNA from 1 species
UACGAAGGGUGCUAGCGUUGUUCGGAAUCACUGGGCGUAAAGCGUGCGUAGGCGGCUUUGCAAGUCAGGGGUGAAAUCCCACAGCUCAACUGUGGAAUUGCCUUUGAAACUGCAUGGCUGGAGUAUCGGAGGGGUCAGGGGAAUUCCUAAUGUAGUGGUGAAAUACGUAGAUAUUAGGAGGAACACCGGUGGCGAAGGCGCCUGACUGGACGGUAACUGACGCUGAGGCACGAAAGCGUGGGGAUCAAACAGG